AAGCUGCGCAGUUGAAGAACUGU
rnacentral:miRNA from 1 species